ncrna:unclassified sequences Clostridiales-3 RNA
UAGUAGUCUGAUGGAUUGAGAAAUGAAGGACGAGAAGUUGAAGCGGAUUCAGCGAGAGUGGAAUGAUAAAUAUGUUGCGUAUGAUAAUAACCCAUAGAGGACAGAGCGACUGUCCUUAUCCUCAAAACUGGCUAAAGGAGGAGAUAGUGUUUCAAACAUUGAAAUGCGUCAUGUGCCUGUUCCCGAAGAUGAUAACAUCUUCUUGUACACGGGGCAGUAGGUCGUAAUAAGAAAUCGUGUACCUACA